rnacentral:rRNA from 1 species
CGGAAGUUUCGGAUGGAAGUUAGAAACGUAGUGGCGGACGGGUGAGUAACGCGUGGGUAACCUGCCUCAUACAGGGGGAUAACAGUUAGAAAUGACUGCUAACACCGCAUAAUAUAGCGAAACCGCAUGAAUUUUUGCUAUCAAAUAUUUAUAGGUAUGAGAUGGGCCCGCGUCUGAUUAGCUAGUUGGUGGGGUAAAAGCCUACCAAGGCGACGAUCAGUAGCCGGCUUGAGAGAGUGACCGGCCACAUUGGGACUGAGACACGGCCCAAACUCCUACGGGAGGGCAGCAGUGGGGAAUAUUGGACAAUGGGGGAAACCCUGAUCCAGCGAACCGCCGCGUGAGUGAAGAAGUAUUUCGGUAUGUAAAGCUCUAUCAGCAGGGAAGAUAAUGACAGUACCUGACUAAGAAGCCCCGGCUAACUACGUGCCAGCCGCAGC